UUCUUAAUGUCAUAUCCACAAAUUUACACAGCGUUUGUUGGGUUCAGGAUCCGAAAUUCCGAAAAUAUAAGAACAUUUAUAUUGAUAAACCGGUAUUAUGCUGAAAAAUUCUUAGGAAUCCGUACAGGAGUUUAUUGAUAAGCAGGGUGACAGGCAAUUGUUAUCCCAAAUUUCCUAAUGAAGCAAAUUUGAAACCUGAUAUAGAAAACACCAGUGGGGCAACAUACCAUUGACUUUGUGGAUCAACUACAUCUACCUUGAGUAUGGAUGGGGAAAUCCAAGAAUACCACAAUGUGACCAAGGCUCUGAGUUUAAGUUGUUCACCAUACCAUCCCAUGUUGGGUUGCCCCCCCAGUCCAGAUCAACAGUUUGUUGAGGAAAAGCUUGGAAUUCAGUUGAUGCCUAUUCUUGCUGUGAAGAGGAGCAAUCUGAACUGAAGGGGAGAACAGACUCCAAAGAAGAGUAGAUGUGAUGACACCAAGAAAGAGCAGCCACAUAUUACCUCGAGAGGUUAACCGAAUGCAAAUCAACAGAAUAUGAUGCUGACCAAGUACCAGGAAGAGGUGUCCCCAUCACUGUAGACGACAAGUGAUGACAGUUAUCUUGAUGGACUACAGGAAUGAUUCAAGUGCAUUCAUUAUGCAGUUUACUGAUUUGUUUGAUGUAUUUUGAUAAUUGUUCUGGCAUUCUGAUGUCAGCUGAGUAACACCUCCAUAAUGGAGACAAAUUAAGGAACUUCUGUUUUGAAGCAGUAAAAUAGUCUCAGCAAGAAUUUUUAUUUAUUUUGCCAGCAGAACAGAAGUUUCCAUUAAUUUUCC